rnacentral:rRNA from 1 species
GAUUGAACGCUGGCGGUAUGCUUAACACAUGCAAGUCGAACGGAAACGAUGUUAGCUUGCUAACAGGCGUCGAGUGGCGGACGGGUGAGUAACGCGUAGGAAUCUGCCUGAUAGUGGGGGAUAGCCCGGAGAAAUCCGGAUUAAUACCGCAUAAUCUACACGUAGUAAAGGAGGCCUCUAUUUAUAAGCUUUCGCUAUCAGAUGAGCCUGCGUAAGAUUAGCUUGUUGGUGAGGUAAAAGCUCACCAAGGCGACGAUCUUUAGCUGGUCUGAGAGGAUGAUCAGCCACAUCGGGACUGAGACACGGCCCGAACUCCUACGGGAGGCAGCAGUGGGGAAUAUUGGACAAUGGGGGCAACCCUGAUCCAGCAAUACCGCGUGUGUGAAGAAGGCCUGAGGGUUGUAAAGCACUUUCAAUUGUGAAGAAAAGUUAACGGUUAAUAACCGUUAGCCUUGACGUUAACUUUAGAAGAAGCACCGGCUAACUCCGUGCCAGCAGCCGCGGUAAUACGGAGGGUGCAAGCGUUUAAUCGGAAUUACUGGGCGUAAAGCGUGCGUAGGCGGGUUUAUUAAGUCAGAUGUGAAAGCCCCCGGGCUUUAACCUGGGAACUGCAUUUUGAAACUGGUCAACUAGAGUAUGGUAGAGGAAAGUGGAAUUUUCUGGUGUAGCGGUGAAAUGCGUAGAUAUCAGAAGGAAACAUCAAUGGCGAAGGCAGCUUUCUGGACCAAUACUGACGCUGAGGUACGAAAGCGUGGGGUAGCAAACAGGAUUAGAUACCCUGGUAGUCCACGCCGUAAACGAUGAUAACUAGCCGUUGGGGGGAUUUACCCUUUAGUGGCGAAGCUAACGCGUUAAGUUAUCCGCCUGGGGAGUACGGCCGCAAGGUUAAAACUCAAAGGAAUUGACGGGGACCCGCACAAGCGGUGGAGCAUGUGGUUUAAUUCGAUGCAACGCGAAGAACCUUACCUGGUCUUGACAUCCUGCGAACUUUCUAGAAAUAGAUUGGUGCCUUCGGGAACGCAGUGACAGGUGCUGCAUGGCUGUCGUCAGCUCGUGUCGUGAGAUGUUGGGUUAAGUCCCGUAACGAGCGCAACCCCUAUCCUUAUUUGCCAGCACGUCAUGGUGGGAACUAUAAGGAGACUGCCGGUGAUAAACCGGAGGAAGGCGGGGACGACGUCAAGUCAUCAUGGCCCUUACGACCAGGGCUACACACGUGCUACAAUGGGAAGGACAAAGAGCCGCGAAGCCGCGAGGUGUAGCUAAUCUCAGAAACCUUUUCGUAGUCCGGAUUGGAGUCUGCAACUCGACUCCAUGAAGUCGGAAUCGCUAGUAAUCGUAGAUCAGAAUGCUACGGUGAAUACGUUCCCGGGUCUUGUACACACCGCC